rnacentral:rRNA from 1 species
GAUGAACGCUGGCGGCAUGCCUAAGACAUGCAAGUCGUACGAAGUGGCCCAUUGAUGAUUGAGUGCUUGCACAAGAUUUGAUUUGGAUUCCCACUUAGUGGCGCAAGGGUGAGUAACGCGUAGGUUAUCUGCCUUCGAGUUUGGAAUAACAAUUAGAAAUGAUUGCUAAUGCCGGAUUAUAUUUAAGAUGAUACGUUGUCUUAAAUUAAAAGGAGCCUUUAAAGCUUCGCUUGAAGAUGAGCCUGCGUCGUAUUAGCUAGUUGGUGGGGUAAUGGCCUACCAAGGCAACGAUGCGUAGCCGACCUGAGAGGGUGAUCGGCCACACUGGGACUGAGACACGGCCCAGACUCCUACGGGAGACAGCAGUUAGGAAUAUUCGUCAAUGGGGGAAACCCUGAACGAGCAAUGCCGCGUGAAGGAUGACGGUCCUUUGGAUUGUAAACUUCUGUUGUUAGGGAAGAACAAGCUGUAUAGGAAAUGAUACAGUU